rnacentral:rRNA from 1 species
UACGGGGGUGCGAGCGUUGUCCGGAAUCACUGGGCGUAAAGGGCGCGUAGGUGGCGUGAUAAGGGUGUGGUGAAAGCCCGGGGCUCAACCCCGGGUCUGCCAUGCCGACUGUCAGGCUAGAGUACUGUAGGGGCAGGUGGAAUUCCGGGUGUAGCGGUGGAAUGCGUAGAGAUCCGGAAGAACGACCGGUGGCGCAGGCGGCCUGAGCUG